rnacentral:lncRNA from 1 species
CUCUCUCAAAUAUUAUUAAUAUCAAUGUAAAUUGUCUUUAAUGAAUGAAAAGGACUCCUAUAUAUAGGAGAAGGGAAAAAAACGUCCAAAGAACCCUAGAAAGACAAUUACAAGGAAUCCUACUCUAGAAAGGAAAUAAAGUAACCUAACUAGGAACAAAUUUAGUACUUCUAGGAAAGCAUUAAAUGGUACUUAGGAGAC